rnacentral:rRNA from 1 species
UACAGACGGCGCAAGCGUUAUCCGGAAUGAUUGGGCGUAAAGCGUCUGUAGGUGGUUCCCGAAGUCUACUGUCAAAUCCCAGGGCUCAACCUUGGACAGGCAGUGGAGAACUCGGGGGCUAGAGUACGGUAGGGGUAGAGGGAAUUCCCGGUGAAGCAGUGAAAUGCACAGAGAUCGGGAAGAACACCAGUGGCGAAGGCAGUGUCCUGGCGCGUAACUGACGCUGAGGUGCGAAAGCCAGGGGAGCGAACGGG